GACGAACGCUGGCGGCGUGCUUAACACAUGCAAGUCGAACGGACAGGCCCUGCUUUUGUGGGGUGCUCGAGUGGCGAACGGGUGAGUAACACGUGAGUAACCUGCCCUUGCCUUUGGGAUAACUUCAGGAAACUGGGGCUAAUACCGGAUAGGAGCUCAUGCUGCAUGGUGGGGGUUGGAAAGUUUCGGCGGUUGGGGAUGGACUCGCGGCUUAUGAGCUUGUUGGUGGGGUAGUGGCUUACCAAGGCUUUGACGGGUAGCCGGCCUGAGAGGGUGACCGGCCACAUUGGGACUGAGGUACGGCCCAGACGCCUACGGGAGGCAGCAGUGGGGAAUAUUGCACAAUGGGCGGAAGCCUGAUGCAGCAACGCCGCGUGCGGGAUGACGGCCUUCGGGUUGUAAACCGCUUUCGCCUGUGACGAAGCGUGAGUGACGGUAAUGGGUAAAGAAGCACCGGCUAACUACGUG
rnacentral:rRNA from 1 species